rnacentral:rRNA from 1 species
GACGAACGCUGGCGGCGUGCUUAACACAUGCAAGUCGAACGGAAAGGCCCUGCUUUUGUGGGGUGCUCGAGUGGCGAACGGGUGAGUAACACGUGAGUAACCUGCCUUUGACUUUGGGAUAACUUCAGGAAACUAGAGCUAAUACCGGAUAGGAGCUCCUGCUGCAUGGUGGGGGUUGGAAAGUUUCGGCGGUUGGGGAUGGACUCGCGGCUUAUCAGCUUGUUGGUGGGGUAGUGGCUUACCAAGGCUUUGACGGUUAGCCGGCCUGAGAGGGUGACCGGCCACAUUGAGACUGAGAUACGACCAAGAGUGCUACGGGAGGCAGAAGUGGGGAAUAUAGCACAAUGGGCGGAAGCCUGAUGCAGCAACGCCGCGUGCGGGAUGACUGCCUUCGGGUUGUAAACCGCUUGAGCCUGUGACGAAGAGUGAGUGACGGUAAUGGGUAAAGAAGCACCGGCUAACUACGUG